CAGAGGGUGCAAGCGUUAUUCGGAAUCACUGGGCGUAAAGAGCUCGUAGGCGGUUAAUUAAGUCAUAUGUGAAAGCCCUGGGCUCAAUCCAGGAAGUGCAUCUGAUACUGAUUGACUGGAGUGCAGGAGAGGAAAGCGGAAUUCCAGGUGUAGGGGUGAAAUUCGUAGAUAUCUGGAGGAACAACAGAAGCGAAGGCGGCUUUCUGGACUGUCACUGACGCUGAGGAGCGAAAGCGUGGGGAGCAAACAGGAUUAGAUACCCUGGUAGUCCACGCUGUAAACGAUGGAUACUAGAUGUCGGGGGCCUUACCCCCUCGGUGUCGGCGCUAACGCAUUAAGUAUCCCGCCUGGGGAGUACGGCCGCAAGGUUA
rnacentral:rRNA from 1 species